rnacentral:tRNA from 1 species
GGGGUGGUGGCGCAGUUGGGAGCGCGUUAGACUGAAGUCACAAACCUCAGUUGCCGUCUAUCGGGUUAUCUAAAGGUCACCGGUUCGAUCCCGGUUCACCCCA